AUACGGAGGAUGCGAGCGUUAUCCGGAUUUAUUGGGUUUAAAGGGAGCGUAGGUGGGAUAUUAAGUCAGCUGUGAAAGUUUGGGGCUCAACCUUAAAAUUGCAGUUGAUACUGGUUUCCUUGAGUACGGUACAGGUGGGCGGAAUUCGUUGUGUAGCGGUGAAAUGCUUAGAUAUCACGAAGAACUCCGAUCGCGAAGGCAGCUCACCGGGCCGGAACUGACACUGAUGCUCGAAAGUGCGGGUAUCAAACAGGAUUAGAUACCCUGGUAGUCCGCACAGUAAACGAUGAAUACUCGCUGUUUGCGAUACACGGUAAGCGGCCAAGCGAAAGCGUUAAGUAUUCCACCUGGGGAGUACGCCGGCAACGGUGAAACUCAAAUGAAUGGACGGGG
rnacentral:rRNA from 1 species